GCGGAGCCUCGUGCCAGAGUGGCGCGCGGGUCCCUCCCACAGCAGCGCCCCAGCCCCCGCGGGCGGGGAGUGAGCGAGGGGGCGGGGUUUGCGGCCGGCCCAGGUCACAUGACCUAGAGGCACCCCCCCCCUCCCCGCCGCCAUGUUGUUUCUAUCUCCCCUACCAGCUGGUGGCUGUAGCGGCGGGACGAGAGCUGCGCAGCCCCGGCUCCGACGGCAGCGGCGCCUCCCCCGGCAGAUGCUGAAUGAUGAUUUAAACUGAACAAUCAAGGACUCAGAAAUCAG
rnacentral:lncRNA from 1 species